GGGGCACUCUAAGGUGACUGCCGGCUAAAAGUCGGAGGAAGGUGGGGGAUGACGUCAAAUCAUCAUGCCCCUUAUGACCUGGGCUACACACGUGCUACAAUGGGCGGUACAAAGGGUCGCGAACCCGCGAGGGGGAGCCAAUCCCAAAAAGCCGCUCUCAGUUCGGAUUGCAGGCUGCAACUCGCCUGCAUGAAGCCGGAAUCGCUAGUAAUCGCGGAUCAGCAUGCCCGCGGUCCGAAUACGUUCCGGCCUU
rnacentral:rRNA from 1 species